GGGGAGAUUGCCUAGUGGUUAACGGCAACAGACUGUAAAUCUGUCGGGUCAUCCCUUCGCAGGUUCGAAUCCUGCUCUCCCCA
rnacentral:tRNA from 1 species